CACCUGGUUGAUCCUGCCAGUAGUCAUAUGCUUGUCUCAAAGAUUAAGCCAUGCAUGUCUAAGUAUAAGCUUUAAACGGCGAAACUGCGAAUGGCUCAUUAAAACAGUUAUAGUUUAUUUGGUGAUCGAUUACUAUUUGGAUAACCGUAGUAAUUCUAGAGCUAAUACAUGCGUCAAGGCCCGACUUCGGAAGGGCUGCGUUUAUUAGAUACAGAACCAACCUAGGCUCCGCCUAGUCCUUGUUGGUGAUUCAUAAUAACCCGGCGAAUCGCACGGCUUGUCCGGCGAUGGACCAUUCAAGUUUCUGACCUAUCAGCUAUGGACGGUAGGGUAUUGGCCUACCGUGGCGUUGACGGGUAACGGGGAAUUAGGGUUCGAUUCCGGAGAGGGAGCCUGAGAAACGGCUACCACAUCUAAGGAAGGCAGCAGGCGCGCAAAUUACCCAAUCCUGAUACAGGGAGGUAGUGACAAGAAAUAACAAUACAGGGCAAUUCUGUCUUGUAAUUGGAAUGAGUAGAUUUUAAAUCUCUUUACGAGUAUCAAUUGGAGGGCAAGUCUGGUGCCAGCAGCCGCGGUAAUUCCAGCUCCAAUAGCGUA
rnacentral:ncRNA from 1 species